GUCUUACCACCGGGAUGUUCAUAACCCUUUGUUGUCCGACUCUGUUGCCUCCGGGGCGACCCUGCCUUCGGGCGGGGGCCCCGGGUGGACACUUCAAACUCUUGCGUAACUUUGCAGUCUGAGUAAACUUAAUUAAUAAAUUAAAACUUUUAACAACGGAUCUCUUGGUUCUGGCAUCGAUGAAGAACGCAGCGAAAUGCGAUAAGUAAUGUGAAUUGCAGAAUUCAGUGAAUCAUCGAAUCUUUGAACGCACAUUGCGCCCCCUGGUAUUCCGGGGGGCAUGCCUGUUCGAGCGUCAUUUCACCACUCAAGCCUCGCUUGGUAUUGGGCAACGCGGUCCGCCGCGUGCCUCAAAUCGACCGGCUGGGUCUUCUGUCCCCUAAGCGUUGUGGAAACUAUUCGCUAAAGGGUGUUCGGGAGGCUACGCCGUAAAACAACCCCAUUUCUAAGGUUGACCUCGGAUCAGGUAGGGAUA
rnacentral:misc_RNA from 1 species